CACUGGAUGGCUGGUGCCUAGACUGGCUGGUUAAAGCUUUGACCUUGACUAAAACAAACUAACAAAAAUGAAGACUUUUUUCCUGUUAUUCAGAGAACACAAAAGAUGGGCCCCUUGGGAGGAGCCCCCUGUAGGCAAAGGUCAUCUGCUUCCUUUGAUUGUUCGAGGCUACCUGGUAAGACCUAAAAAGUGAUCUGUGAAUGGUUGCUGCCUAUGCUGGAUCUGGAGGCAUGUGGGAGAGACCACACUGCAAACUGAGGAAUGGAGUUGGAAGAAAGAUAACCUUACUUUGUUCUUCAGAAGAGGACAUGAUUGAUCUAAGG